UUUAAUUUCCCAUGCUUCUCAAACAGGGGCACUACUGGGUAUGUAUAUAUCAACAUGCCAGGGUGCACCUGAAUUCACAGACCAAGGAACCUAAAGAUAAGAACUCAAAAAGCUUGAGGGUGAGAUAACAGGAAAU